AUCUUGCGCAAUGGGGGCAACCCUGACGCAGCAACGCCGCGUGAGUGAGGAAGGUCUUCGGAUCGUAAAGCUCUGUCAGUUGGGAAGAAAUGUCUGGAAGCGAAUACCUUUCAGGCUUGACGGUACCAACAGAGGAAGCACCGGCUAACUCCGUGCCAGCAGCCGCGGUAAUACGGGGGGUGCAAGCGUUGUUCGGAAUUAUUGGGCGUAAAGAGCGUGUAGGCGGCCUGAUAUGUCAGAUGUGAAAGCCCUGGGCUUAACCCAGGAAGUGCAUUUGAAACUGUCAGGCUCGAGUAGGGGAGAGGGAAGUGGAAUUCCUGGUGUAGAGGUGAAAUUCGUAGAUAUCAGGAGGAACACCGGUGGCGAAGGCGACUUCCUGGCCCUAUACUGACGCUGAGACGCGAGAGCGUGGGUAGCAAACAGG
rnacentral:rRNA from 1 species